UUUAUUCCUCCCUGUAUUAAUGAAUCGGUUCCAUGUCUGACUGUGCUGUCACACGUUCUCCGCCCGUCUCUGCAGGACAGCGUGAUUGAGCACCGCUCCUCAGAAUGCAGCGGUGACCAGACAGACCGCACAUUGGUCAACGGUCAUCCGCCCGCUGCUCGCUGUUCCCACGGCAACGUGCACACUGGAGCCGCAGAGUUACUGGACGGGGUCGUCUGGAAGCUGCAGGCGUCCCUGAGAGCCGGACGAGGCCAUUCGUCACGACGCGGUGACGCCGGACUGGCCCUGCGGAGAAGCAGCUGCUCUGAUCUGUCGGACCUGGAGAGGAGAGUCACCUCCCGCCUCCGCUCCGUCACCGAUGCCAGCGCUCCAACCUGCGGGUACGCCGGCUACAGGCCACGCCUCCAGGACCGGCAGCCACGUGCCGCCGCUGGAGGAGAAGUGGGCGCGCCGAGAACGCUCCACGCCUCAGAACUGAUCCAGGAUCUGCGGAAGAGGGAGUCCCACCUCCUGCAGGGGCUGGAGGAGGCGUGUCACGCCCACAGACACGCCCUGCAGGAGCUGGGUGAGGGUCUGGACCAGGUGGUGUUCAUUCCACCGCUAAAACGAUGAAGCUGGACCUGCCUGAUUGGCCGGUUCCAUGGUCUUGCUGCAUUUUGAUUGGUCCGUGUGUACAGUUCUUAGAGGAACGUUGCUCGCUCCUGUGAUUUCUACACUGGAGCAACAAAGCUGAUGAAGUAGGUCAGAUGUUUGGUGGAUUUUGUGUGUGUGUGUGUGUGUGUGUGCUCAUUCCAGCAGGUCUGACAGUGUCACUGUAAACCCAUCCAGCAGCUAAUCAACCCAGAAACAUGGAAUCCGACCUCAGAACACGCGCCGCUUGGGAUUGUGGGAUUAUGGAGAUUAAAGGAAGUCGUUGAGAACAUGCUGAGAGGAGAGGUUAAUGUCUGAGUUGUAGGGCGUGAAGAGUCAUUAACAGAAUUUCCACACAGUCACAGUCACUUCUCGCUGGUAACAUCGGCGUCCUACACCCACCGCAUACAUAUGAACAGGACAGCAAGUUCUGGAUGAGAUGUAUAAAAAAAUAAAAUGCUUUUCAGAUUUAUUUUGUCA
ensembl:lncRNA